rnacentral:sRNA from 1 species
CAUGCCUCCAGUUCGCGUGAUCUGAAUAAUCGAUGAAACGGUACUGCCAACAAAAACAAAGAAAACAGCAAAAAGCAGGCCACUUCUGCUUCCCCCUUUUGAUCAGCAGAGAGAGAGACAGAGAGAAGAACAGCAGCAAUCACUGAUUGAUGGGGAGUCAAGCGGGAGACAGGAGACAGAAGACAACAUGCGGCUUCGCAUUGUCAUCGGCAUGGGGCGCAACAAAUUAAGCGUCUUGUGUGGUCGUCAUCAGCGGAACGCGGCAACAUCAGCAGCCGCAGUAGCAGCGGCAGCAUUGCGGUAGAUCGACGCCACCUGGUCAGAGUAGGCCCCAAACUGAGCUCCAACUGCAGCCCCAGCACCGAGUCCGAGUCCGAGUCCAACUCCGGAGAGUGACCACCGCCGGCGAUGCCUAAAUUCAGUUGGACACGAGCGCCAAUGCAGCGAUCAAGUGACAUUUUAUUGUCGGCAAACGCUGGACGGCUGUUUUUGCUGGUGCCUCUGUUUCUGGUGCUGCUACCCUGUACUUUUAGAGCGCAAGGGUACAUGGGUUUCCCUAGAAACAGGUAGAGUUUCGAUCAUGGGGUAUCCUCUAGUCGAUGCCCUCACUGGGAGUGCUCUCAUUUGUGGCCGCUGCUUUAGCUAUUUAGAGGCAUGAAAGAAGCGACAGAAACUGAGCCUGAGGCCGAGACCUGAAAUUGGCUCUGAAUCUGGCUCUCAGGAGUCCUCACUUGGAUAAUUGACAAGAAUUAAUUCAUUCCAUUGAUCGGUGAGCGUUGAAAUGUCGCAAAUUUAAUUAUUGAAGUCGCGCUGCCAGUCCAAUCAGCCUCCGAGACUGUGGGUGGGCGCGCGGAUGCCAAUAGAGAGCGGCUUAAGCGGCUCUUUCCAUUCCAUUCCUUACCCCCCCCCCUUCCGCUGGCCGGAGGACAGUCCAGCAGUCGUUCAUUCCCUGGCCUUUAAGUAAAACAAACAAGAUGACAAAAAGGAGUACGAAUGGAUUGAAGCGGGGAGCAGUGCAGUUCAGCUGGAGCCAGGAGAUGGAUGCCGUGCCUGCCUGUAAAAAAAGCUAAAAAAAGAGAAGGAAAUUCAACGAUUUGUGCAGUCAUCGGAAGCGGAAGCAGCAGCAACAGCAGCAGCACUGACAGAGGCACAUCCUCUCUCCAUCCUGAUGAGCUAGUGACGAGGACGACAGCCAGUCCAGUCCUUUGGAGUGGAUGAAAAAGAGCAGAGUGGAGGCGAACGAAGGACUAAAGUGGUGGGGAUUGUCGCUCUUACUGUUGACUUAAAUCGUUUAGUGUCUCCUCAGUUCUGCACUCCUCUCCACUCUCCACUGGACAUUCGGCAGAAUGGGCUCUGCUCUGGGAAUAAUUGAUGGGAAAACUGAAAGCCGGCAAAAGCGAUGGAAACGACGCGAAUGAUGGAAAGUGCAGAUGAAAAAUAAACCGC